GGGGAUUUAGCUCAGUGGUAGAGCGCUUGCCUAGGAAGCGCCAGGCCCUGGGUUCGGUCCCCAGCUCCA
rfam:Rattus norvegicus chromosome 6, whole genome shotgun sequence.